rnacentral:rRNA from 1 species
GUCCUUUAGAAAUUAAUUUAAGGUCUAGCCUGCCCACUGAAAUUAUUUAAAGGGCCGCAGUAAUUUGACUGUGCAAAGGUAGCAUAAUCAUUAGUUUUUUAAUUGAAAGCUUGUAUGAAGGGUUGGACGAGGUAAAUUCUGUCUCUAUUUAAUUUAUUUUAGAAUUUAAUUUUUAAGUUAAAAAGCUUAAAUUUAUUUAAAAGACGAGAAGACCCUAUAGAUCUUUAUAUUACAAUUAUUAAUUUUAAUUAAGAUUAUUUAAUUUUUUAAUAUUUAUAAUAUUUUAUUGGGGUAAUAAAAAGAUUUAUUAAAUUCUUUUUUUAUUUAAACAUUGAUAAAUGAUUAAAUGAUCCAAUUUUAUUGAUUAUAAGAUUAAGUUACCUUAGGGAUAACAGCGUAAUUUUUUUAGAGAGUUCAUAUCGAUAAAAAAGUUUGCGACCUCGAUGUUGGAUUAAAAAUUAUCCUAGGUGCAGAAGUUUAGGAUUUUGGUCUGUUCGACCAUUAAAUUUUU